rnacentral:tRNA from 1 species
CGCCGCCGAGGAUGUCGGCGACCUCCUGCGCGCUGCCGCCGCGCAGCACCGCCGCGGUCAGCUCGGAGUGGACGGCGGCGG